UCAGAAGCAGCCACCAUUUAAAGAGUGCGUAAUAGCUCACUAGUCGAGUGAUCCUGCGCCGAAAAUGUACCGGGGCUAAGCAUACUACCGAAACCAUGGAUGCGACCAUUAGGUCGCGUGAUAGGAGAGCGUUCUAAGGGCGGUGAAGCAAGAUCGUGAGGACUUGUGGAGCGCUUAGAAGUGAGAAUGCCGGUAUGAGUAGCGAAAGAUAGGUGAGAAUCCUAUCCACCGAAUGACUAAGGUUUCCUGGGGAAGGCUCGUCCUCCCAGGGUUAGUCGGGACCUAAGUCGAGGCCGAGAGGCGUAGACGAUGG
rnacentral:rRNA from 1 species